UGGGGAAUUUUGGACAAUGGGCGCAAGCCUGAUCCAGCCAUGCCGCGUGCGGGAAGAAGGCCUUCGGGUUGUAAACCGCUUUUGUCAGGGAAGAAAUCUUCUGAGUUAAUACCUCGGGAGGAUGACGGCACCUGAAGAAUAAGCACCGGCUAACUACGUGCCAGCAGCCGCGGUAAUACGUAGGGUGCAAGCGUUAAUCGGAAUUACUGGGCGUAAAGCGUGCGCAGGCGGUUUUGUAAGACAGAGGUGAAAUCCCCGGGCUCAACCUGGGAACUGCCUUUGUGACUGCAAGGCUUGAGUGCGGCAGAGGGGGCAUGGAAUCGNNGUGUAGCGAGUGAAAUGCGUAGAUAUGCGGAGGAACACCGAUGGCCGAAGGCAAUGCCCCUGGGCCUGCACUGACGCUCAUGCAGCGAAAAGCGUGGGGGAGCAAACAGGAUUAGCAUGACCCUGGUAG
rnacentral:rRNA from 1 species